rnacentral:lncRNA from 1 species
GUUUUUCUAUUGGUCCACGGCACUCAGCUUCCGUUUUGAACCCAAACUGUACUACUUGGUGGUGAUUGUAACAGCAGAGGUGUGUUUUUGCUUUUCAUCCCUUAGUUUUUAGAUUAGUGCAGUUUGAUUUGACAGUUGGGCUUUACGUUUUUUGAAGUUAAUUCACGUGAUAAAUACAAUAAGCAAUAGCAAAUCAUUAUUAGACCUAUACGAACAUUAUGGAUAAAUAUUUGCUACUUGGUUGGUGAACUUGGUGAAUUUUGCAGAUCUAAUCAAAGAUGGCAAGACAGGGAGUAUCAAGACCAAAGGUGAUCUCAUCAGGCAGGCUGACAGGCUCUGGACGUGGACAGAUACACAAGAAAAGGGUUGCUGGGAGAUGUGUUCCUCCUCUUGAACCAGCAUAUUCUCUUUAUUCUACAGACUCUGAAGAUCAGGUGACAACAAUACACAAGGGACUCGACCGAUGUGCUGCUUUACUCAAUGGGAUACUUCAAGCUGAACAAGCAGCCCAAACCACAGGGAACAAAAACCUGCACCUUCAAAUCCAAACCCAAGAAUUUAUUAAGAAAAAUUGAAACUGACAAGAAAAGGCAUGGGAAGAAGACAAACACAGCUAUACAUGCAAACAAAAGGCCAGGUAAUGUCCUCAAAUAUAUUGUACCUUUUUCAUAUUAUCAAAACAAGUUCUGCAAGAAUUU